CCAAUAGCUACUGAGGAGACAUUAUUGAUUCCAGAGGAGUGAGCUGCUGCUGGCUUUCAAAGCAAUGUGCACGCUCUCUCCGUCUGCCUUCUUUCCUUCUCACCCCUGUGCAUAUACUGUAGGCUGGGUGGGGCUGUGUCGGAGUGCGCAAGCACAAAGGCGCUUUUCCCCCUGCCUAUGUUUUUCCACACCAACUCCAGUCUUUGCAUGUCAAUGGAAUACUAUAUAUUCUUAAUAAACAACUUUCAGCAACGGAUCUCUUGGCUCUCGCAUCGAUGAAGAACGCAGCGAAAUGCGAUAAGUAAUGUGAAUUGCAGAAUUCAGUGAAUCAUCGAAUCUUUGAACGCACCUUGCACUUCUUGGUAUUCCGAGAAGUAUGCCUGUUUGAGUGUCGUGAACUUCUCAAUCCCAAUUUCUCUAAGUCAAGAAUUGGGCCUGGAUGGUGGAGGUGUGCCGGCCAGCCGGCUCCUCUCAAAUGUGUUAGCUUGGAUCCUGCUGCAGGACUGGCCUUUGGUGUGAUAGUGUUGUCUGCGCCACGGCUGGGAAUGCGUUGCUUGUCCCUUUUUCAAGGGGAAGGCGGGGGAUUGGCUUACAAUGUGGCAUGCACCUUCAAUGGGGGUGCUGCCUUAUCAUUCUUUUGACCUCAAAUCAGGUAGGAUUACCCGCUGACUUAACUUUAA
rnacentral:rRNA from 1 species